rnacentral:rRNA from 1 species
UGGGGAAUAUUGCACAAUGGGCGAAAGCCUGAUGCAGCAACGCCGCGUGAGUGAUGAAGGCCUUCGGGUUGUAAAAGCUCUGUCUUUUGGGACGAUAAUGACGGUACCAAAGGAGGAAGCCACGGCUAACUACGUGCCAGCAGCCGCGGUAAUACGUAGGUGGCAAGCGUUGUCCGGAUUUACUGGGCGUAAAGGAUGCGUAGGCGGAUUUUAAGUGAGAUGUGAAAACCCUAAGCUUAACUUGGGGACUGCAUUUCAUACUGGAAAUCUAGAGUGCGGGAGAGGAGAAUGGAAUUCCUAGUGUAGCGGUGAAAUGCGUAGAGAUUAGGAAGAACACCAGUGGCGAAGGCGAUUCUCUGGACCGUAACUGACGCUGAGGCAUGAAAGCGUGGGUAGCAAACAGGAUUAGAUACCCUGGUAGUCCACGCCGUAAACGAUGAGUACUAGGUGUAGGAGGUAUCGACCCCUUCUGUGCCGCAGUUAACACAAUAAGUACUCCGCCUGGGAAGUACGAUCGCAAGAUUAAAACUUAAA